AUACUUGCCUGGAAGGGGAGAUACCAUGAUCCAGAGGUGGUUUUCCCAGGGUGAGGCCUACCCAUUGCACUCCAAAUGCAAUAACCUCUGUAAUUUCCCCAAACAUGGGCUAGUAGACUGCAUAAUUUGUGGUAGUGGGUUGCUACAUUUACUCUUUUCCCUAU
ensembl:snRNA U1 U1 spliceosomal RNA